rnacentral:rRNA from 1 species
GACGAACGCUGGCGGCGUGCCUAAUACAUGCAAGUCGAGCGAAGUUUUUCUGGUGCUUGCACUAGAAAAACUUAGCGGCGAACUGGUGAGUAACACGUAAAGAACCUGCCUCAUAGACUGGGACAACUAUUGGAAACGAUAGCUAAUACCGGAUAACAGCAUUAACUGCAUGGUUGAUGUUUAAAAGUUGGUUUUGCUAACACUAUGAGAUGGCUUUGCGGUGCAUUAGCUAGUUGGUGGGGUAAAGGCCUACCAAGGCGACGAUGCAUAGCCGACCUGAGAGGGUGAUCGGCCACACUGGGACUGAGACACGGCCCAGACUCCUACGGGAGGCAGCAGUAGGGAAUCUUCCGCAAUGGGCGAAAGCCUGACGGAGCAACGCCGCGUGAGUGAAGAAGGAUUUCGGUUCGUAAAGCUCUGUUGUUAGGGAAGAAUGAUUGUGUAGUAACUAUACACAGUAGAGACGGUACCUAACCAGAAAGCCACGGCUAACUACGUG